rnacentral:ncRNA from 1 species
ACCCUUCUCCGGGUACAGCGUCAGGUGGGGAGUGUGGCUGGGGCAGUACACCUGUCAAACCAUAAGGCAGGUCUCCUAAGGCGAGCUCAGGGAGGACAGAAACCUCCUACAAAGGAGAAGGGCAAAAGCUUACUUGAUCUUGACUUUCAGUACGAAUACAGACCGUGAAAGCAGGGCCUCAUGAUCCUUCUGACUUUUUGGGUUUUGUCCAAAACUCCAUAUUAUGUUUAUGCCUUAAAUUGUAAUUGUUAUUUUUCAGAAGGAGGU